AAAAACAAAAAGUGAAUGCAAAAGUGCAUAUAUAUUUAUUUUAUGUGUUUGAUGUGUGUGUCGGGGCGUGGUCUGCAGUGCCGCUGCAGGGGAGGUGGACCCACGGGUGUAAAGUCUGUGCUCUCUUGGCUGUUUUUUGGGGGGCCAGGUAGGGCAUUAACAGAGAAAGGUGGACAUAAAGAUAUACUUUUCUUUCUUACUCUCAUAUAAAAUAUUUAGCUUUUAUUAAAUGCUUAUCCGAAUCUUACAACCAAAGUUUGUAUAAUAAUACACAAGGUUGGCUGUAGACCAUUGUUCAUCAUUCAGAACACUGUGUAAAAAUAACAAAAAACAAAAAGUGAAUGCAAAAGUGCAUAUAUAUUUAUUUUAUGUGUUUGAUGUGUGUGGCGGGCGUGGUCUGCAGUGCCGCUGCAGGGGAGGUGGACCCACGGGUGUAAAGUCUGUGCUCUCUUGGCUGUUUUUUG
ensembl:lncRNA